CAACUUUCAGCAACGGAUCUCUUGGCUCUCGCAUCGAUGAAGAACGCAGCGAAAUGCGAUAAGUAAUGUGAAUUGCAGAAUUCAGUGAAUCAUCGAAUCUUUGAACGCACCUUGCUCUCCUUGGUAUUCCGAGGAGCAUGCCUGUUUGAGU
rnacentral:rRNA from 1 species